AGUUACUGGGAUAGCCCGAGGAAACUCGGAUUAAUACCGGAUAUUCUUAUUUAAUCACAUGAUUUUUUAAGGAAAGGUCAGCCGAACUAAGAUGGGCUCGCGUUCUAUCAGCUAGUUGGUAGGGUAAUGGCCCACCAAGGCUACGACGGAUAGCUGGUCUGAGAGGACGAUCAGCCACACUGGGACUGAGACACGGCCCAGACUCCUACGGGAGGCUGCAGCAGGGAAUAUUGCGCAAUGAGCGAAAGCUUGACGCAGCGACACCGCGUGUGGGAUGACGGAUCUAGGUUUGUAAACCACUUUCAGGAGGGAAGAAAAUGACGGUACCUCCACAAGAAGCCCCGGCCAACUACGUGCCAGCAGCCGCGGUAAUACGUAGGGGGCGAGCGUUGUCCGGAUUUAUUGGGCGUAAAGAGCUCGUAGGCGGUUCAACAAGUCGGUCGUGAAAGUUCAGGGCUCAACCCUGAAAUGUCGAUCGAUACUGUUGUGACUAGGAUACGGUAGAGGUGAGUGGAAUUCCGAGUGUAGCGGUGAAAUGCGUAGAUAUUCGGAGGAACACCAAUUGCGAAGGCAGCUCACUGGGCCGCUAUCGACGCUGAGGAGCGAAAGCUAGGGGAGCAAACAGGAUUAGAUACCCUGGUAGUCCUAGCUGUAAACGAUGGAUACUAGACGUAGGAAUUGGAUUAACGAUUUCUGUGUCGCAGCUAACGCGUUAAGUAUCCCGCCUGGGGAGUACGGUCGCAAGACUAAAACUCAAAGGAAUUGACGGGACCCCGCACAAGCGGCGGAGCAUGCGGCUUAAUUCGAUGAUACCCGUAGAACCUUACCUGGACUUGACAUAUAGGGAAAAGUUAUAGAAAUAUAAUGUGCAUUAGCGCCCUAUACAGGUGGUGCAUGGCUGUCGUCAGCUCGUGUCGUGAGAUGUU
rnacentral:rRNA from 1 species